UAUAAUCUGCGGACAUGUCAGUCCAUGUAUUCAAUGAUCAACAUAGUCAACCGAGGUCAAUUAGACCCUUAAUUUGAAGCAAACAUAAAUACAUGAAAUCUGUGUGUACAGCAACAAUGGUCAUAUUUAAGAGUUCACUUCCAGUAGAUCCCACAGGACUGGAAGCAGUGCUUGCCACUAACACUAAGACUUUGAACUAGGACUGGAUAGGAUUUCAAUUGCAGCAAGUGAAACGAUCAACUCAACACCUUGGUCCAUAAGUUGAACUGUUUUGAACCUGGAGAAAUGACUCAAUAUAAUUUGACCAGAAGGCAGAUCUGUUUCAACAAAAGCCUGAGUUCUAAUUCAUAAGUCAACAAUAUCAAGAAAAAAAAAAUUUGUCACUUUGUAAUUUUACAGAACCAACUGAAUGGCCAGAGUCUAAUGUACAUGAUAUCACACAUUCACCCACACUAGAUCUACAGAUCAACAUAUGUUACUAUCUAAAAAUGUUUGAGAAAUAUAUAAAUCAAUGUUUACAAAGGGGGGAAAAAAAAGGUUUUUAAAAAGCUGCACAUUGCCAUCCAACUAACAAUCCUGUCAACAAGAGACUGCAGUCUGGAAACACCCAGAUCAAACUGGUUUUAUUUUUUCUGUUUUUUGGAACAUGU